rnacentral:rRNA from 1 species
GCAGUCGACGAUGAAGCCCUUCGGGGUGGAUUAGUGGCGAACGGGUGAGUAACACGUGGGCAAUCUGCCCUUCACUCUGGGACAAGCCCUGGAAACGGGGUCUAAUACCGGAUACGACCUGCCGAGGCAUCUCGGUGGGUGGAAAGCUCCGGCGGUGAAGGAUGAGCCCGCGGCCUAUCAGCUUGUUGGUGAGGUAACGGCUCACCAAGGCGACGACGGGUAGCCGGCCUGAGAGGGCGACCGGCCACACUGGGACUGAGACACGGCCCAGACUCCUACGGGAGGCAGCAGUGGGGAAUAUUGCACAAUGGGCGAAAGCCUGAUGCAGCGACGCCGCGUGAGGGAUGACGGCCUUCGGGUUGUAAACCUCUUUCAGCAGGGAAGAAGCGAAAGUGACGGUACCUGCAGAAGAAGCGCCGGCUAACUACGUGCCAGCAGCCGCGGUAAUACGUAGGGCGCAAGCGUUGUCCGGAAUUAUUGGGCGUAAAGAGCUCGUAGGCGGCUUGUCACGUCGGGUGUGAAAGCCCGGGGCUUAACCCCGGGUCUGCAUCCGAUACGGG